GAUGAACGCUGGCGGCGUGCUUAACACAUGCAAGUCGAACGAAGCUGCCUGGAGGAAGUUUUUGGAUGGAAUUUAGGUAGACUUAGUGGCGGACGGGUGAGUAACGCGUGGAUAACCUGCCUUAUACAGGGGGAUAACGGAGAGAAAUUUCCGCUAGCACCGCAUAAGACCACAGCACCGCAUGGUGCAGGGGCAAAAUAUUUAUAGGUAUAAGAUGGAUCCGCGUCCGAUUAGCUAGUUGGUGAGGUAAAGGCCCACCAAGGCGACGAUCGGUAGCCGGCCUGAGAGGGUGAACGGCCACAUUGGGACUGAGACACGGCCCAAACUCCUACGGGAGGCAGCAGUGGGGAAUAUUGGACAAUGGGGGAAACCCUGAUCCAGCGACGCCGCGUGAGUGAAGAAGUAUUUCGGUAUGUAAAGCUCUAUCAGCAGGGAAGAAAAUGACGGUACCUGACUAAGAAGCCCCGGCUAACUACGUGCCAGCAGCCGCGGUGAUACUUAGGGGGCAAGCGUUAUCCGGAUUUACUGGGUGUAAAGGGAGCGCAGACGGCAAUGCAAGUCUGAAGUGAAAGGGGUGGGCUCAACCCAUGAACUGCUUUGGAAACUGUAUUGCUUGAUUGUCUGAGGUGGAAUCGGAAUUCUGUGUGGUUGUGGUGAUAUGCGUAUAUAUUAUGAAGAACUGCGGAGUCUAAGUGGUCUUACUUGU
rnacentral:rRNA from 1 species